rnacentral:misc_RNA from 1 species
ACACCUCAACCCUCGUGGUUCGCCACGACGGGCUUGGACUUUGGAGGUUUUGCUGGCCCCCCUGUGGUCGGCUCCUCUCAAAUGAAUCAGCUUACCAGUGUUUGGUGGCGUCGCAGGUGUGAUAACUAUCUACGCUUGUGGCCGUCUGCCAUGCGACCUUCGGCGACGAGGGUUUGCUGGGGCUUACAGAUGUCUUUCCCGAGUGAAGACAGCUUUUUGAUC